CAGGCCUAACACAUGCAAGUCGAGCGGACCAUUCCUUCGGGGAUGGUUAGCGGCGGACGGGUGAGUAACACGUAGGCAACCUGCCUGUAAGAUCGGGAUAACUACCGGAAACGGUAGCUAAGACCGGAUAGCUGGUUUCUCCGCAUGGGGGAAUCAUGAAACACGGGGCAACCUGUGGCUAACGGAUGGGCCUGCGGCGCAUUAGCUAGUUGGUGGGGUAAUGGCCCACCAAGGCGACGAUGCGUAGCCGACCUGAGAGGGUGAUCGGCCACACUGGGACUGAGACACGGCCCAGACUCCUACGGGAGGCAGCAGUAGGGAAUCUUCCGCAAUGGGCGCAAGCCUGACGGAGCAACGCCGCGUGAGUGAUGAAGGUUUUCGGAUCGUAAAGCUCUGUUGCCAAGGAAGAACGCCUCGGAGAGUAACUGCUCUGAGGGUGACGGUACUUGAGAAGAAAGCCCCGGCUAACUACGUGCCAGCAGCCGCGGUAAUACGUAGGGGGCAAGCGUUGUCCGGAAUUAUUGGGCGUAAAGCGCGCGCAGGCGGUCUUUUAAGUUUGGUGUUUAAGCCCGGGGCUCAACCCCGGUUCGCACUGAAAACUGGGAGACUUGAGUGCAGGAGAGGAAAGCGGAAUUCCACGUGUAGCGGUGAAAUGCGUAGAGAUGUGGAGGAACACCAGUGGCGAAGGCGGCUUUCUGGACUGUAACUGACGCUGAGGCGCGAAAGCGUGGGGAGCAAACAGGAUUAGAU
rnacentral:rRNA from 1 species